UACGUAGGGGCCAAGCGUUUGUCCGGAUUUAUUGGGCGUAAAGAGCUCGUAGGCGGUUGGGUAAGUCGGGUGUGAAAACUCCAGGCUCAACUUGGAGACGCCACCCGAUACUGCUCUGACUUGGAGUUCGGUAGGGGAGUGGGGGAAUUCCUGGUGUAGCGGUGAAAUGCGCAGGAUAUCAGGAGGAACACCGGGUGGCGAAGGCGCCACUC
rnacentral:rRNA from 1 species